UCUGAAUGUGAAUUCGAAUCCGAAUUACUCUUAUUCACACCAAACACAAAACCCACAUUAUUGAAGCUCCCAAACCCUUCCGCACUUCCAGUACAUUGUUGCUUUUCCGAAUUCAAAUUCGACAUCAAACUGUUCUUAUGUGAGCCAAACACAAAACCCACAUCCCUAACCAAAGAAUUGGACCCAUUUGAUGAACUACUAGUAGCAUUGUUAACUUAAUUAGAAUUCUCCAAAACAGACUGAAAAGGAUUCAAACCCGAAUUAUUUGAAGACUUCCCUUGCUGAGAACCCAUCUGUCUCCUAAUCUUCACAAGCCUCGGCUUCGAAAGCCCCGAAACUGCAGAAGAAUUCGACUUCUCUGAACUCAUUCGCGGCACAAAAGGCAAAGAGAAGCCAAGGUUCGAACUUUGUAGCCUGCCCUUUUUUUUUUCUUUUUUUUUUCAACUGACUGCAGGAAACUAUUUUGCAAGUUAGUUAUAUUUCAAUAACACUAUCAUUUCACCCAUUCAAAAGUUUCUUUCAACAAUUUGCAUGCAAGUUAUAUCAAUCCAUAUGUAGAUUACAUGAGAACAUAUCGAACUGUUCCUCUUUUAUUUUUUAGAACACAGCUGACACGGCAAACAGUUUUCUUCUAAUUUUCACUUAAGCAACCAACAAAUUAGAACCCGGUUCUAUGAUUACACUUCCCCUCUUCUCAUGACUGACCAAGUCUUCAUGUCAAACAAACAAAACAACCUUCACAUUCACUUGAAAACCACAAGCCAAAAAAAAAAAAAAACAAAAACAAACUGUAAACCUCAAGUCUGA